UGGACCGAGGCAGAAAAACAUCACAAACACCUUUAUUCAUCAACUACAAUGAUAUCAACCAGGAAUUACACCUGCUGAAAUGGUACUGACAGCAACAGACAGCAUAUAGACAGAGGACAGGUAGUCUACAUAUAGACAGCAUAUAGACAGAUGACUUUACAGAUAGUCUACAUAUAGACAGAAUAUAGACAGAGGACUUUACAGGUAGUUUACAUAUAGACAGAAUAUAGACAGAGGACUUUACAGGUAGUUUACAUAUAGACAGAAUAUAGACAGAGGACUUUACAGGUAGUUUACAUAUAGACAGAGGACUUUACAGGUAGUUUACAUAUAGACAGAGGACUUUACAGGUAGUUUACAUAUAGACAGAGGACUUUACAGGUAGUUUACAUAUAGACAGAAUAUAGACAGAGGACUUUACAGGUAGUUUACAUAUAGACAGAAUAUAGACAGAGGACUUUACAGGUAGUUUACAUAUAGACAGAAUAUAGACAGAGGACUUUACAGGUAGUUUACAUAUAGACAGAGGACUUUACAGGUAGUCUACAUAUAGACAGAAUAUAGACAGAGGACUUUACAGAUAGUCUACAUAUAGACAGAAUAUAGACAGAGGACUUUACAGGUAGUUUACAUAUAGACAGAAUAUAGACAGAGGACUUUACAGGUAGUUUACAUAUAGACAGAAUAUAGACAGAGGACUUUACAGGUAGUUUACAUAUAGACAGAAUAUAGACAGAGGACUUUACAGGUAGUCUACAUAUAGACAGAAUAUAGACAGAGGACUUUACAGGUAGUUUACAUAUAGACAGAGGACUUUACAGGUAGUCUACAUAUAGACAGAAUAUAGACAGAGGACUUUACAGGUAGUUUACAUAUAGACAGAGGACUUUACAGGUAGUUUACAUAUAGACAGAAUAUAGACAGAGGACUUUACAGGUAGUUUACAUAUAGACAGAGGACUUUACAGAUAGUCUACAUAUAGACAGAAUAUAGACAGAGGACUUUACAGGUAGUUUACAUAUAGACAGAAUAUAGACAGAGGACUUUACAGGUAGUUUACAUAUAGACAGAAUAUAGACAGAGGACUUUACAGAUAGUCUACAUAUAGACAGAAUAUAGACAGAGGACUUUACAGGUAGUUUACAUAUAGACAGAAUAUAGACAGAGGACUUUACAGAUAGUUUACAUAUAGACAGCAUAUAGACAGAGGACUUUACAGAUAGUUUACAUAUAGACAGAAUAUAGACAGAGGACUUUACAGGUAGUUUACAUAUAGACAGAAUAUAGACAGAGGACUUUACAGGUAGUUUACAUAUAGACAGAAUAUAGACAGAGGACUUUACAGGUAGUUUACAUAUAGACAGAGGACUUUACAGAUAGUUUACAUAUAGACAGGAUAUAGACAGAGGACUUUACAGGUAGUUUACAUAUAGACAGAAUAUAGACAGAGGACUUUACAGGUAGUUUACAUAUAGACAGAAUAUAGACAGAGGACUUUACAGGUAGUUUACAUAUAGACAGAAUAUAGACAGAGGACUUUACAGAUAGUCUACAUAUAGACAGAGGACUUUACAGGUAGUUUACAUAUAGACAGCAUAUAGACAGAGGACUUUACAGGUAGUUUACAUAUAGACAGAAUAUAGACAGAGGACUUUACAGGUAGUUUACAUAUAGACAGAGGACUUUACAGAUAGUUUACAUAUAGACAGGAUAUAGACAGAGGACUUUACAGGUAGUUUACAUAUAGACAGAAUAUAGACAGAGGACUUUACAGGUAGUUUACAUAUAGACAGAAUAUAGACAGAGGACUUUACAGGUAGUUUACAUAUAGACAGAGGACUUUACAGGUAGUUUACAUAUAGACAGAAUAUAGACAGAGGACUUUACAGGUAGUUUACAUAUAGACAGAGGACUUUACAGGUAGUUUACAUAUAGACAGAGGACUUUACAGAUAGUUUACAUAUAGACAGAAUAUAGACAGAGGACUUUACAGGUAGUUUACAUAUAGACAGAAUAUAGACAGAGGACUUUACAGGUAGUUUACAUAUAGACAGAAUAUAGACAGAGGACUUUACAGGUAGUUUACAUAUAGACAGAGGACUUUACAGGUAGUUUACAUAUAGACAGAGGACUUUACAGGUAGUUUACAUAUAGACAGAAUAUAGACAGAGGACUUUACAGGUAGUUUACAUAUAGACAGAAUAUAGACAGAGGACUUUACAGGUAGUUUACAUAUAGACAGAGGACUUUACAGGUAGUUUACAUAUAGACAGAGGACUUUACAGGUAGUUUACAUAUAGACAGAGGACUUUACAGGUAGUCUACAUAUAGACAGAAUAUAGACAGAGGACUUUACAGGUAGUUUACAUAUAGACAGAAUAUAGACAGAGGACUUUACAGGUAGUUUACAUAUAGACAGAGGACUUUACAGGUAGUUUACAUAUAGACAGGAUAUAGACAGAGGACUUUACAGGUAGUUUACAUAUAGACAGAAUAUAGACAGAGGACUUUACAGGUAGUUUACAUAUAGACAGAGGACUUUACAGGUAGUCUACAUAUAGACAGAGGACUUUACAGGUAGUCUACAUAUAGACAGAAUAUAGACAGAGGACUUUACAGGUAGUUUACAUAUAGACAGAGGACUUUACAGGUAGUCUACAUAUAGACAGGAUAUAGACAGAGGACUUUACAGGUAGUUUACAUAUAGACAGAAUAUAGACAGAGGACUUUACAGGUAGUUUACAUAUAGACAGAAUAUAGACAGAGGACUUUACAGGUAGUUUACAUAUAGACAGGAUAUAGACAGAGGACUUUACAGGUAGUUUACAUAUAGACAGAGGACUUUACAGGUAGUUUACAUAUAGACAGAAUAUAGACAGAGGACUUUACAGGUAGUUUACAUAUAGACAGAAUAUAGACAGAGGACUUUACAGGUAGUUUACAUAUAGACAGAAUAUAGACAGAGGACUUUACAGGUAGUUUACAUAUAGACAGGAUAUAGACAGAGGACUUUACAGGUAGUUUACAUAUAGACAGAAUAUAGACAGAGGACUUUACAGGUAGUUUACAUAUAGACAGAAUAUAGACAGAGGACUUUACAGGUAGUUUACAUAUAGACAGAAUAUAGACAGAGGACUUUACAGAUAGUCUACAUAUAGACAGAGGACUUUACAGGUAGUUUACAUAUAGACAGAAUAUAGACAGAGGACUUUACAGAUAGUCUACAUAUAGACAGAGGACUUUACAGGUAGUUUACAUAUAGACAGAAUAUAGACAGAGGACUUUACAGGUAGUUUACAUAUAGACAGAAUAUAGACAGAGGACUUUACAGGUAGUUUACAUAUAGACAGAGGACUUUACAGGUAGUUUACAUAUAGACAGAAUAUAGACAGAGGACUUUACAGGUAGUCUACAUAUAGACAGAAUAUAGACAGAGGACUUUACAGGUAGUUUACAUAUAGACAGAGGACUUUACAGGUAGUUUACAUAUAGACAGAAUAUAGACAGAGGACUUUACAGGUAGUUUACAUAUAGACAGAGGACUUUACAGGUAGUUUACAUAUAGACAGAGGACUUUACAGGUAGUUUACAUAUAGACAGAGGACUUUACAGAUAGUUUACAUAUAGACAGAAUAUAGACAGAGGACUUUACAGGUAGUUUACAUAUAGACAGAAUAUAGACAGAGGACUUUACAGGUAGUUUACAUAUAGACAGAAUAUAGACAGAGGACUUUACAGGUAGUUUACAUAUAGACAGAAUAUAGACAGAGGACUUUACAGAUAGUUUACAUAUAGACAGAAUAUAGACAGAGGACUUUACAGGUAGUUUACAUAUAGACAGAAUAUAGACAGAGGACUUUACAGAUAGUUUACAUAUAGACAGAAUAUAGACAGAGGACUUUACAGGUAGUUUACAUAUAGACAGAAUAUAGAC